UGGAAAAUAAUAUAAGGGGAGUAUGGAGGGUUUUGAAUUCUCAUGUGCAGGUUCGAGUCCUGCUUUUCUA
rnacentral:tRNA from 1 species